rnacentral:lncRNA from 1 species
UAUAUAUAUAUAUAUUAACAACAGUAAGAUGUGCAUAAAUUUUGUAUUGGAAUGGAUAAUAUUGGAUAAGUUUUAAUUCUGAAAUUUAAGGUGGAGGUAGAAUAAAUAGCAAAUUAAAGCUUGUAGCAACCACUGCUACGUUACUUGCCUCCCAAUGAAUGAGACAGCCGCUCAAAGCGUGAUCCGGAGCAUUACCUCUUGUUUUGUCACAAUAAUAUUAGAACACGUUCUCAAACAAACAUUUUCAUGCAGCAAGUAUAGCACUCAUACAGCCCAAACCGACAAACAAGCGACAACGGUGAACAUCGCCUAGGCUAACUGCAGCAGUGAUGCUUCACUUUUUUGUAUCUUUAAAAUUAAAAUUGAUAUGACAGCAAGAAAAUACACCUUAGAAAGAUAAGAAAAAAAUCCUACAACUUUGUACAAAUCCUCUAUUUUUAACAUGAUCCCAAGAGGGGUAAACCAGCAGUUGAAUAUGAAGUACAUAAUCUAUCUAAAAAUUUUAGGCAGCAACAUACAAAAAUCCAUAUCUCCCAAACCCCUUGUCCAAAUAUUCUCAAUUUUUUUCAGGAUGUACAACUUUGAGGAACGUACAACUUUGUUAUUAUGGGUUUCCAUGAAUUCCUUCAUUAAGAUCAUCUAAUACAUGUCUGAAAAUCUGCUAUCAAAUCUGGACAUUCAGAAACAGCGCCCAAACAAUAUUCAGUAACUGAAGGUAUACUCCAUCAAAAAUAUGUGAAACUUUGACAGCAGUUAGAUCUCACAAACCUCUAUAACUUUCAUAUGAUCCACUUUCAGGGGGGAAAAUCAUUUAUGUUGUCAAAAACUACAAGGACAGCAGCACUGCCCAUGCUAUAGGACAACAGACCUUAGAUCGACUUUCAAACCGUGUUUUCCCCCACAAAUCCACUAAUCCCCAUGACCAAGAACCAUCUAAAAUCAUCAUUUAGCAGAACUAAAGUGGAUUCACCUCACGUUGGUCAUCCCCCAAUCCUAGCGCAGCAAGAUUGAAAUGGGGAAAAACAAAUCUACUCCGAAGAUGUACCACAUCUCGAUCCUCCUCCUCAAUCCAUUUUUCUCCUUUUCCCUUGGUUAUUGCUGCUAUAGAGGAGGUUCCAGAGAAGGGUAAGGUGCUGUGGAGAGGGAGAGAGAAGUUCUUGGGAGAAGAGUUCGAACGGGAGGGAGAGGGGACUGCGCUGGGGAAGCGACUCGAUCCCCCAGGGUUCUGUGGGAAAGGGUUUCGACUUGAGCCAAGGGAGUGCGCUAGUUUGCUAAUACUUGGCCCAAAUUGGAUUAGGAUCUCUGAAAUCUUUUUUUUCUAAAAAAAUUGAAUGUUAUUUUGUUAAAGUGUUCCCCAUGGCCUUGGUUUACCUCCUGUAUGAGUUGAUCUUGAGGACUUACCCAUCUAUUUGAAAUCUUCCCUCUAGGGGUUAGUCAAAAAAGAUAUACAUCUAAUGCC